rnacentral:rRNA from 1 species
UCCCGCAAGGGACGUGGCGCAAGGGUGAGUAAGGCGACGGUAACCAACCCUAGGGACGGGCAUAGUCAGGGGAAACCCCUGGGUAAUUCCCGGCGACGUCGCGGCCUGACAUCGGGCUGCGACCAAAGGUGCAAUUCCGCCCUUCGACGGGCCGUCGUGGUAUCAGGUUGUUGGUGGGGUGACGGCCUACCAAGCCGAGGACGCCUACCGGGCGUGCGAGCGUGGCCCGGCACACUGGGACUGAGACACUGCCCAGACUCCUACGGGAGGCUGCAGUCGAGAAUCUUCGGCAAUGGGCGCAAGCCUGACCGAGCGACGCCGCGUGGAGGACUAAGGCCUUCGGGUUGUAAACUCCUGUCGAGGGGGAACAAGGGGCCGUGAAGAACGGCUCUUGAGUGAUCCCUGGAGGAAGCACGGGCUAAGUUCGUGCCAGCAGCCGCGGUAAGACGAACCGUGCGAACGUUAUUCGGAAUCACUGGGCUUAAAGCGCGUGUAGGCGGGCCGGCACGUCGAUGGCUGAAAUCCCCCGGCUCAACCGGGGAAGUGGCCUCGAUACGACCGGCCUGGAGGGGGGGUAGGGGGCGCCGGAACUUCCGGUGGAGCGGUGAAAUGCGUUGAGAUCGGAAGGAACGCCCGUGGCGAAAGCGGGCGCCUGGACCCCACCUGACGCUGAGACGCGAAAGCCAGGGGAGCGAACGGGAUUAGAUACCCCGGUAGUCCUGGCCGUAAACCAUGAGCACUGGGUAGGGGGCUCGCCGAUGGGCUCCCUGCCGGAGCGAAAGCGUGAAGUGCUCCGCC